rnacentral:rRNA from 1 species
GCACAAGCGGUGGAUCAUGUUGUUUAAUUCGAUGAUACGCGAAGAACCUUACCAGGUCUUGACAUCCCCUGCAAAGCUAUGGAGACAUAGUGGAGGUUAUCAGGGAGACAGGUGGUGCAUGGUUGUCGUCAGCUCGUGUCGUGAGAUGUUGGGUUAAGUCCCGCAACGAGCGCAACCCUUAUUGCUAGUUACCAUCAUUCAGUUGGGGACUCUAGCGAGACUGCCAGUGAUAAACUGGAGGAAGUGGGGAUGACGUCAAAUCAUCAUGCCCCUUAUGACCUGGGCUACAAACGUGAUACAAUGGCUGAAACAAAGGGCAGCGAAGCAGUGAUGUGGAGCGAAACCCAAAAAGCAGUCUCAGUUCGGAUUGAAGUCUGCAACUCGACUUCAUGAAGUCGGAAUCGCUAGUAAUCGCGGAUCAGCACGCCGCGGUGAAUACGUUCCCGGGCCUU